GUGUGUUGGUAGCCCUAUAAGGACAGCGAAGUUUUUUGUGCUGGGGUGGUAUGCUGAUCACAAAGUGAAUUCUUCUGGUAGAAUACUGGGUAUAUGUGUGUUGUGGGCGGGGUUGGAGGUUCCUGUUUGGGUCCACUUGGGAGAUCUUGCUGAAAAAGAGCUUUUCAUUCAGCCCCAGAGGUAGGGGGCGCUAGAGUCCAGGCUCCGGAGUCGGUUACCCAGAGGGAGCCUUAUCUGUGGUGGCUUGUAGUGGAUGCCCAGCAACAUCCCUAAUCUGAAAAUGAUAUAGAAGGUAUCAGUCCCACCUUUUCUAGCAGUCACUAGAGAGACUCCUGGGCAAUUUUUUGGAUUUCAUCUUAUUGCCUGAAGGAAAUUCUUGAAAGUCUGACAACAAUUCAUCAGAGAGGAAGCUGUGGGGGUUAAGACAAAGAACUAGAUCUCUUCGCCCAAAUUUCUGCCUACUGCCAAUAAGGGUCAUCAUGCUUCAUCACAGAGGUUGUUCAGGUCUCGGCUUUGAACGAGAUUUUCUGGACCCAGUUGACUCACCGGGCACAUUGAUUUUACUGAUUCCUGUGGAUGACUUGGAAGAUGAUGUGGAAGAAAUAAUCGAAAUAUAUGAAGAUUCGGGGAAUGAUAGUGGAGAGGUAGAGGAGGAGGAAGCUGAACAGGAAGGGGCUGUGGAGGAGGAGGAGGUGGAAGAGGUGGAGGAGGAAGAAAUAGAGCUGGAAAUAGGAAAAUAUAUUGAAGAGAAUGAGGAAUAGAAAUGAGAAAUUAAAAAAAGAGGAGGAGAAAGAGGAGGAGAAAGAGGAAGAGGGGGAAGAGGAGGAAGAGGAGGAGAAAGAGGAGGAGGGGGAAGAGGAGGAGGAGGAGAAAGAGGAGGAGGAGGGGGAGGAGGAGGAGGAAGAAUAAAAGGAGGAAGAAGAAGAUUCAAUGCAAUGUACCUUUAUUUGCUAAGCUCAUGCAAGGAAACAAGAAAAUGUUAAUAAAUCUUAAUAAAAUUUGCUUACUGGUUCAUUUACUUAACAAA